rnacentral:rRNA from 1 species
AGCGAACGCUGGCGGCAGGCUUAACACAUGCAAGUCGAGCGGGCAUCCUUGUGGUGUCAGCGGCAGACGGGUGAGUAACGCGUGGGAACGUGCCCUUCGGUUCGGAAUAACUCCGGGAAACUUGAGCUAAUACCGGAUACGUGCGAGAGCAGAAAGGUUUAUCUGCCGAAGGAUCGGCCCGCGUCUGAUUAGCUAGUUGGUGAGGUUAUGGCUCACCAAGGCGACGAUCAGUAGCUGGUCUGAGAGGAUGAUCAGCCACACUGGGACUGAGACACGGCCCAGACGCCUACGGGAGGAAGCAGUGGGGAAUAUUGGACAAGGGGGGCAACCCGGAUCCAGCCAGGCCGCGUGAGUGAUGACGGCCUUAGGGGUGUAAAGCUCUUUUCUCCGGGACGAUAAUGACGGUACCGGAGGAAUAAGCCCCGGCUAACUUCGUG